GGAGUUGGUAUCUCAGUGGUAGAGUACAUGCUUUGGGUGUGUGAUGACGUCCUGGGUUCAAUCCCCAGGUCGCCG